CCUACGGGAGUCAGCAGUGGGGGAUAUUGCACAAUGGGGGGAACCCUGAUGCAGCGACGCCGCGUGGGUGAAGAAGCGCCUCGGCGCGUAAAGCCCUGUCAGCAGGGAAGAAAAUGACGGUACCUGAAGAAGAAGCCCCGGCUAACUACGUGCCAGCAGCCGCGGUAAUACGUAGGGGGCAAGCGUUAUCCGGAUUUACGGGGUGGAAAGGGGGCGCAGACGGCGAUGCAAGCCAGGAGUGAAAGCCCGGGGCCCAACCCCGGGACUGUGCUUGGAACUGCGUGGCUGGAGUGCAGGAGGGGCAGGCGGAAUUCCUGGUGGAGCGGUGAAAUGCGUAGAUAUCAGGAGGAACCCCGGUGGCGAAGGCGGCCUGCUGGACUGCAACUGACGUUGAGGCCCGAAAGCGUGGGGAGCAAACAGGAUUAGAUACCCCAGUAGUC
rnacentral:rRNA from 1 species